AAAAUGGUAGCUCAGUUGGUAGAGCCACCACUAUAUAUGCGGGAGGUCUCGAGCUCCGAGUUCGAUCCUCGACCAUCCUUUUA